CACAUAGUUAGCCGGUGUUUCUUUUGUAGGUACCGUCACUUUCGCUUCUUCCCUACUGAAAGCGGUUUACAACCCGAAGGCCUUCAUCCCGCACGCGGCGUCGCUGGGUCAGAGUUUCCUCCAUUGUCCAAUAUUCCCCA
rnacentral:rRNA from 1 species